ensembl:lncRNA
AUUGAAAAUUCUAUACAGAGCCUGAUAAAAAAGAAAACAAAGCCCUUAAUGAUGCCUGUAGUAUGGAAAGCAGGCAAAUGUCCACUCCUUUGAGUGCUUAUUCCUAAGUGGUGAGGCCUUUCAGAGCCAACCAAGUGACCCACAAUUACCCAGCACAGCAGAGCUGCACAUGGGCUUCCAUGUGAAUGCACUCAUCUGCACCAGAUACCUGCUGGCAUCAGCAGUCCUUACACACAGCAAAGGAGAGCAUCACACCAGCUUACACCACGCUCUGGGCCUGCAGGUACUGCUGCUUCUUUGUUAGGAAUAAAAAGGAUGAGACCAAAAUUGACCAGUUGCUUUUGGGUUUGACCUUCAUUAUCAAACAGGGAAUGCUGAGUUGCAUAGUGUGCACACUGCAGAAGAUGAGUUAUUUGAACAGAGGAUACCAGAGCCUUGACUGCACUGCGUUAGGGCAGUGACAGCACACAGGGAUAUGCCAGACCCAGAGCAUAGGCCAGGUGCAGAGGCUGCAUCAAAGCCCUGAGCAGCUCUGAUAUCCAUUUCCAGAGCUCUGGGCAGAGCGCGGAGAUGUUACGGCCAUUCGGACAGCUGCAAAUUAUUUGUUCAUUCAUUCAUUUUCCGUGGGCAAAAAUCCCAAAUCAACCCGGAAAGAAAACCCACCCUGGGACACCAGCCCAAGCUGUGGGUGUCAAGAUUCGCUGCUGCGGGAGCAGAAAGGCACUUUGUGCAGCCACACACCUCAUAAAGAGAGGACAGGAAAUUUCAUGGGAGCAAAGACAAUGGCCUAAUUUUUUCCUGCCAGUGUCAAAACAAUGCUCUCGAAGAGCCAGAAGCCAUGGUCUGUGAGAACUAAAUUGGUGGUCCCCAUCCGGUUGCUCUGGAAUAACAGCCCUGUCACCACAUGGCACAGAGCAGCAGUGCCAGCGCAGUCCCAUGAGCCACCAAAGGCUGUGCAAGGAGAAGUGGGAGUGGGGCUUCUGGCCCUGUAUUGCUGGGCAGGGCAAUGAUGGGGCAGGGACUGAGCAAGGAUGGCUGUCCCACUCCAGGGAAACCACAGCAAUGGUCAGAAACAGGAGUUUUUGGAAAUGAGGCAUUACCUCUAGGAACCACGGAGCUCAGCAAGUUGUAUCUCGCAUGGAAAGGAGCUGAUUAAAGCAGUAAGUUUGUUGCUGCUUGAUGACUGCAGCUCAAACCCUUCAAUAUCCCACUGCUGGUAGCCAGAGGCAGGAGUUCUGGCAGAACCAAGGCCCUGUGAGGUGACAAAUCUGAAUACCAGUGUGUUGGGACACCAAGCAAGUAGAGAAGUGAGUGAAAACAAAGGCUUUUAAGGCAAACUUAUCUUGUUCCCACCCUGUCUGGUAUGAAAGAAGCUAAAGACACAGGGCAAGUUUUCCUCAAAAUGUCACAUAUUUAGUUGAAUCAGUUUAAGGACAGAAGGUUCAGAAAUGAUAGGAAAACUCCACUCAGCCAACUCUAAAGUGUCCCAUCACUGCUGCUGUGAAGUCUCUCCUGGACCGACCAAAGCAAACUGGAUCUCAUGUUAUUCUGCUCCCUGUGCCCACCAGGGCCAUGCAGUGCCACACAGUGCCGCCGGCCGGCAGUGCACCAGCAUGGCAGUGGUGGCCAUACAGAAAUCAGGGUCCGAAUUUCCUGGCACAUGCAAAAACAAACCCAAAGAAUUGGAUCCCAAGGGACAGUUUUAAUGAAGUGGCGGCUCAACGCCACUCAGAAUACUACAAAAAAUCCCAGAAAGUAGCGUGCAAUUAUGCAUCUACAAACACCAUUUAGGCUGAUGACUCAAAAUAUUCAUUGAUUUGAAAUACAUUGCCUGAAUGCAUUUUGCAUAACAUUGGUGUAUAUUUGUGUGUAUAGUAUUUGUUAGACUUACAAAUACAUGGAGAAGGCACAGGUAUACGUAUCCACUUCUAGGAACGAAUGGCUAAGUGGCAGAGCCAUUCUUUCACAUGGGCAAAGCAAAGGUUUCACUGCUUUUAUUUCAUUUUAAUCUUAUACAAGUAAUGCUUUAGGAAAUGUUCAUUAUCACCAACGCUCUCAUCGUGGUCUCAAGUCUGUAAUGCCACGAAGGAAGCCUCCGCUGCACAGAACUGACUCUACCGGGUUGCUGAAGCUGAAGUUCCCUGAGUAUUCCUCUCCAUCAAAGACAUUAUGAGUAAUAAGAGUAGCUGCAAUUGUGGCUUUUUAGAAAGUGCUCUUAGCAGUGUGUUCUAGAAAGGCUAUUUUAAAGGUCACAUUGCUGAGCCCGUGGCGCGCUGCCUUGGCGAGGUGGUACGAAGUGAGUGCGUUUCAGCUGGCAUCUGGUUUAGACUAUAUUUUCAUCUGUGGAAAUUGAAAAAUUCUUGGAAGAACUCCACAGUCUACAAAAAAAAAAAAAAUGUUCUUCUUGAAAACAAGUUAUGAGUUAAUGAUAAUUCCACUCGGGGCAGGAAGGAAGGGCUUAGGCUGGACAGCCCCGGGUGGCUGGGAGGACGCUAACCACGGCCCCGCUCCCAUCCCAGCCCUGUGGAAUGGGAUGAGUGCCCCAUGCCAGGAGAUAGAUGGAUUAACCAUACCCCACAGAAGCGAACUGCUUUUAUAAGCACUGUGUAAUUCUGAAUAUGUGAAAACUUUCUGACUGGAGUUCAAAUCCAGCUUUUCCUCUAAUACAUCCCUAGAAGGAACUUCAAAUAUUAAAUCCUGAGAAAUGUAGACGAAACCACGUAAAAGCUGCAGACAUCCUAAAUAUGCACAAUGGGAUCCCUUAUGCUGAAGACACAGUGAAACAUUCAUAACCAUUACAGUAAAACCCAAAUUCUGACUUGUUCCUGCACUUAGCUAUGACUGGAUUACAAUUCUGGUUAAAGCAUCCAUCUGCCUAAAAAUAAACAUUUGUAAUGACCUUAAUGAGCUACGGAGUGAUCCUGUGUGGAAGUCUCUUCAUGGGAAAAAAACAUGUCACUCUUUGGAAGGACCUGCUGCAACUCCCACGUGAAGAACUGCCUGUGGUGCUGGAAAUAACCAACACGGAGCUGUAAACUUACGGAGGCAGAUGAUAGAGUCAUAGAAUGGCCUGGGUUGGAAGGCAUCAUCCGAAUCCAACCCAGGUUAGAAGGGCCCUUGCAGCACCCCCAGCCCCACCCCCAACAUGGGCUGGUUGCCCCCCAGCUCAGGCUGACCAGGGCCCAUCCAUGGCCUUGGGCAUCUCCAGGGAUGGGGCAGCACAGCUCUGGACAGCACUGCCAGCACCUCACCACCCUCCCUGCACGGAUGGAGGAUGGCUCACAUGAAUUGUCACAGGCAGAGGCAGCAGGAGCACUUUGUAGCUCUGAAGCAGUCCCGCCAGGUGCCACGGCUCUGUGCCUGCAAACCAGGCACCUGGAACAGCCCUGCAGGAGAAGGGUGGGAGCAGUGAGGUGUGUGUAUCCCACCGCCCCUCAGCCAGCAGUGUGGGGCACAGGGCAGCCACAGCUCCGCAGCGGGGCUGGAGGAAGUCCUGCACUCAUAAAUGUUUCAUUGCACUUCUGAAAAACAGACGGCCACUUUUUAGCAGUCUAUGAAACAAUAUUGUAAACAGUUCAACUAUUCUCCCCUCUGGUGCUGGGAUCUGUGAGAACAAUGCGCAUUCAGGGACAGAGCUCUCUGCCUUGGCUGAUCGCUGAUCGCCAGCACAGGCGCGGCGCGACCCACUGCUCCGCUGCCACCAGGAAGGGACAUCGGGGCUGCAUGGACAGACAUGGCUGUAAGGUGAACAGCGGGCAGAGGGGGAUCGGGGUGAGCAAUGAUCUGCAGCUGAUGCCGGCACUGGGGCUGAUCCUUGGAGCCGGGGAGCACGCGGCGCUGGGCGCGCUGAAAAACAAAACUGCAAUAAAACGGGCAGAUGGUCCUGAAGGAAGGGGGGAGGGGGUGCAGAAAGGAGGAAACGAGAUAUUAAAAAAUGUAAAUGAGAGGGAAAUUAUAAAAAGCAUAAAGCUCCUGUCCCUCGGGGAACAGCUGUGUAUGCUAAUCCCUCCUGGGCUGCUCCUUUUGGAUCUCCCUUCCUUCCUUCCUCCGUCCCUCUCUAAUAGCUCCCUUGUUCCUGCUGGACAAAACUGGCCCUUUGUGGCUGCUCUCAGAACAACAUUAAAAACAGGAAUAGGGAAAUUGUAAACAGGAGGCUUUUGGCCUACAGGCCAAGGCACACACCGGCCUCUGAGGUCUACUUCAUGCUAAGCAAAGAAACAGAUCUUUGUUGCUGAAGGGAUUAGGGCUGCGGGAUUUCUGAGGCACGGCGGAGGCAUUCAGCUGGCCUGAAGUAGGGCCUUUGUAAAGAGAUACCUCCAUUAUAGAUCCGCGAGCGGAAAUCGUUCGUGCUCUUUAUACAAUCUGGGUAAUGCGAUAUUGUUGGGCGGCUGAAGGGCUCUGGUGAAGCAGGGCCCUAUCUACUCAAUGGCAAAUUCUUCAGCAGCUAAAUAGAUGGUGGUAUAAUUACCUUUACGGGUGGGGGGAGAGGGCAGCAAUCCGUCUUUAACCCUUAGGUGCUUCAUGAGAGCAACCAGGGCGAGCUCGGAGGAGUCCGCUCAGACAGCGCGGUCACUACAGGCAUCCAGAUGAGUAUCCACCACCCAGGGCAGUUUAAUCUCAAAUUCCUCACAAAGCAGCUAUGCACGCCAUACAACAUUCAUUGCCCGCAUUCCUUCCCAGACCACCUCUGCUCUGUGCCCUACAUGUGGUACCAACAACUCCCAUUUGGACAACCUGCGGAGCCCUCCACCAACCCCACCGACCACACUGCAGUGCCAAUGGCUGAGCUGAGGCACUGCCUACCUCUCAGCCUUCCACCUUUUUGGCUCUAAUUUCAGACUCUCUUCCCAGGAAAAUGUUUGUAAAAAUAAUUUGCUAUAAUUAGAAAAACACUUCAUUGAGAACUCAUUACUGGAAGCCCAUCCUGCAGCUCAGCACUGGGAAGGCCUGGGACACAUUAUGGGUCAGCUGAGAACCACCGCGAUGCCGAAGUUUGUUUCAGAAGAAUUAUUUUGGAGCUCUGGCUCCUCGCAUCCAAUGCACAUGUGACGUUUGUUAUGUGAC